ACUUCCAUCCAAUAAUUAGGCGAAGUAGUGCUUAGGCGGCGGUUUUGGGCGCAGCGUAGUAUACCAUCUAGCAAGAUGAUGCCUCGCGUCUCUACUUCUAAUGACUUUUUAUGGCGGAUGGCAAACCAACUUUUGGUGCAUUCACCGCCACCAAGUGGAACGGAAUGUGAAGCACUAGAAAGCAGAUGACGCCUCACGUGACGUCUCAAUCAUCCUCGCGUCUUUUGAGCAAUCGGCAUUCAGAAGCAAGAUAAGGCAAUCACCUAUUUUUUCUGGACAUCGGCAAUUCUGAGGACUCGCAUGCUAUUCCAUUAAUGCUCAGUAUGGACUGCAGGAUUGUGAAUGAUGACAUCACUACUGUCAUCUCUGCUGUUUUUCUAAUGUUCAGCAGUUAUUACUCUUUUAACAUUCACUACCCUACGGAAUUGGCGUCACUGCUUAAAUUCUUGCUAAGGGUGCUUUUCAUCAUCAAUGCCAAGAAGGUCACAAAAGUCGAGGAAAAGAAGAACAAAAAGCAACUCCCAGUGAUGCCAGCCUAAUUUCUUACCUCUCUGAUCAUGAGUGGUGAGAGACUAUGUGAACUUUGUGCAGAGGUUUAUACUUACAGAAUAACAUACAAAUGGUAAUGAGUUGUGUUGUAACUACAAGUUUAGUGGUAAUGAUGUACUAUACCCUGUAAGCACUUAUGUUGUGCCUUGUUCUGCUUUAGUAGAUUAAAUGUACAUCUUUGACCUUUACUUGACUUCCCAAACAAGCACAGAAAAAAGUA